rnacentral:rRNA from 1 species
AACGAACGCUGGCGGCAUGCCUAACACAUGCAAGUCGAACGAGACCUUCGGGUCUAGUGGCGCACGGGUGCGUAACGCGUGGGAACCUGCCCUUAGGUUCGGAAUAACUCCCCGAAAGGGGUGCUAAUACCGGAUAAUGUCUUCGGACCAAAGAUUUAUCGCCUUUGGAUGGGCCUGCGUUGGAUUAGCUAGUUGGUAGGGUAAAAGCCUACCAAGGCGACGAUCCAUAGCUGGUCUGAGAGGAUGAUCAGCCACACUGGGACUGAGACACGGCCCAGACUCCUACGGGAGGCAGCAGUGGGGAAUAUUGGACAAUGGGCGAAAGCCUGAUCCAGCAAUGCCGCGUGAGUGAUGAAGGCCUUAGGGUUGUAAAGCUCUUUUACCCGGGAUGAUAAUGGCAGUACCGGGAGAAUAAGCUCCGGCUAACUCCGUG